GGCCCGCACAAGCGGUGGAGUAUGUGGUUUAAUUCGACGCAACGCGCAGAACCUUACCCAGCCUUGACAUCCUUCGAAUCUGUAUGAAAAUACGGAGUGUCCCUUCACGGGGAAGCGAAGUGACAGGUGCUGCAUGGCUGUCGUCAGCUCGUGUCGUGAGAUGUUCGGUUAAGUCCGGCAACGAGCGCAACCCCUGUCGUUAGUUGCCAUCAUUCAGUUGGGCACUCUAGCGAGACUCCCGGUGUCAAGCCGGCGGAAGAUGGGGAUGACGUCAAGUCCUCAUGGCCCUUAUGGUUGGGGCUACACACGUACUACAAUGGUGACUACAGAGGGCUGCAAUACCGCGAGGUGGAGCCAAUCCCAAAAAAGUCGCCUCAGUUCAGAUUGGAGUCUGCAACUCGACUCCAUGAAGUUGGAAUC
rnacentral:rRNA from 1 species